rnacentral:rRNA from 1 species
UACGUAGGUGGCAAGCGUUGUUCGGAAUUAUUGGGCGUAAAGGGCGCGUAGGCGGUUUGUUAAGUCGGUCGUGAAAGCCCGGGGCUCAACCCCGGAGGGUCGACCGAUACUGGCAGACUAGAGUACAGAAGAGGUAGCUGGAAUUCCCGGUGUAGCGGUGAAAUGCGUAGAUAUCGGGAGGAACGCCUGAGGCGAAGGCGGGCUACUGGGCUGAUACUGACGCUGAGGCGCGAAAGCUAGGGGAGCAAACGGG